rnacentral:rRNA from 1 species
ACGAACGCUGGCGGCGUGCUUCACACAUGCAAGUCGAACGGAAAGGCCCUGCUUUUGUGGGGUGCUCGAGUGGCGAACGGGUGAGUAACACGUGAGUAACCUGCCCUUGACUUUGGGAUAACUUCAGGAAACUGGGGCUAAUACCGGAUAGGAGCUCCUGCUGCAUGGUGGGGGUUGGAAAGCUUCGGCGGUUGGGGAUGGACUCGCGGCUUAUCAGCUUGUUGGUGGGGUAGUGGCUUACCAAGGCUUUGACGGGUAGCCGGCCUGAGAGGGUGACCGGCCACAUUGGGACUGAGAUACGGCCCAGACUCCUACGGGAGGCAGCAGUGGGGAAUAUUGCACAAUGGGCGGAAGCCUGAUGCAGCAACGCCGCGUGCGGGAUGACGGCCUUCGGGUUGUAAACCGCUUUCGCCUGUGACGAAGCGUGAGUGACGGUAAUGGGUAAAGAAGCACCGGCUAACUACGUG